AUUGAACGCUGGCGGCAGGCUUAACACAUGCAAGUCGAACGAGUGGCGGACGGGUGAGUAAUGCUUGGGAAUAUAGCUUAUGGAGGGGGAUAACUACGGGAAACUGUAGCUAAUACCGCGUACCAUAGGAUGAGCCCAAGUGGGAUUAGGUAGUUGGUGAGGUAAAGGCUCACCAAGCCGACGAUCUAUAGCGGGUCUGAGAGGAUGACCAGCCACACUGGGACUGGGACACGGCCCAGACUCCUACGGGAGGCAGCAGUGGGGACUAUUGCGCAAUGGGGGCAACCUGACGAAGCCAGGCCGCGUGAAUGAAGAAGGCCUUCGGGUUGUAAAGUUCUUUCGUUAUCUAGGCGUUAACUACAGAAGAAGCACCGGCUAACUCCGUGCCAGCAGCCGCGGUAAUUC
rnacentral:rRNA from 1 species